AAUCUGCCUGGUAGUGGGGGAUAACGUCCGGAAACGGGCGCUAAUACCGCAUACGUCCUGAGGGAGAAAGUGGGGGAUCUUCGGACCUCACGCUAUCAGAUGAGCCUAGGUCGGAUUAGCUAGUUGGUGGGGUAAAGGCCUACCAAGGCGACGAUCCGUAACUGGUCUGAGAGGAUGAUCAGUCACACUGGAACUGAGACACGGUCCAGACUCCUACGGGAGGCAGCAGUGGGGAAUAUUGGACAAUGGGCGAAAGCCUGAUCCAGCCAUGCCGCGUGUGUGAAGAAGGUCUUCGGAUUGUAAAGCACUUUAAGUUGGGAGGAAGGGCUGCUGGUUAAUACCCUGCAGUUUUGACGUUACCAACAGAAUAAGCACCGGCUAACUUCGUGCCAGCAGCCGCGGUAAUACGAAGGGUGCAAGCGUUAAUCGGAAUUACUGGGCGUAAAGCGCGCGUAGGUGGUUGGGUAAGUUGGAUGUGAAAGCCCCGGGCUCAACCUGGGAACUGCAUCCAAAACUGCCCGACUAGAGUACGGUAGAGGGUGGUGGAAUUUCCUGUGUAGCGGUGAAAUGCGUAGAUAUAGGAAGGAACACCAGUGGCGAAGGCGACCACCUGGACUGAUACUGACACUGAGGUGCGAAAGCGUGGGAGCAAACAGGAUUAGAUACCCUGGUAGUCCACGCCGUAAACGAUGUCGACUAG
rnacentral:rRNA from 1 species